rnacentral:rRNA from 1 species
UACGCAGGGUGCAAGCGUUACUCGGAAUUACUGGGCGUAAAGCGUGCGUAGGUGGUCUGUUAAGUCUGAUGUGAAAGCCCUGGGCUCAACCUGGGAAUUGCAUUGGAUACUGGCAGGCUAGAGUGCGGUAGAGGAUGGCGGAAUUCCCGGUGUAGCAGUGAAAUGCGUAGAGAUCGGGAGGAACAUCUGUGGCGAAGGCGGCCAUCUGGACCAGCACUGACACUGAGGCACGAAAGCGUGGGGAGCAAACAGG